rnacentral:rRNA from 1 species
GACGAACGCUGGCGGCGUGCUUAACACAUGCAAGUCGAACGGAAAGGCCCUGCUUUUGUGGGGUGCUCGAGUGGCGAACGGGUGAGUAACACGUGAGUAACCUGCCCUUGACUUUGGGAUAACUUCAGGAAACUGGGGCUAAUACCGGAUAGGAGCUCCUGCUGCAUGGUGGGGGUUGGAAAGUUUCGGCGGUUGGGGAUGGACUCGCGGCUUAUCAGCUUGUUGGCGGGGUAGUGGCUUACCAAGGCUUUGACGGGUAGCCGGCCUGAGAGGGUGACCGGCCACAUUGGGACUGAGAUACGGCCCAGACUCCUACGGGAGGCAGCAGUGGGGAAUAUUGCACAAUGGGCGGAAGCCUGAUGCAGCAACGCCGCGUGCGGGAUGACGGCCUUCGGGUUGUAAACCGCUUUCGCCUGUGACGAAGCGUGAGUGACGGUAAUGGGUAAAGAAGUACCGGCUAACUACGUG